ensembl:lncRNA
GGGGCGGGGGUCUCGGGCAGUCAGCUCCGCAAGGAUGUGAGAUUCAGAACAACUCGGGUUCCCACCCAGGUCCUGCCACCCCAGAACGGCGUGCACAGGCCACUGCUCUGAGCCUGUCUCUUCACCUGCAAAGUGGGGGUGGUGACAACUCCCUCCUUCUUGCUGAGAAGAUUUAAUGCCAUGAAGUCUGCACCGUGCUCACCUGCUACCACCGAGACAGGUACACAGCAGGCAGUGAAGGAUGGUGACUUGUUGUUUUCCAGACUCUUAUUUUUAGAAAACUUUCUCAUGCAUGCACUGCUUAACAUCAAAACAAUUUCUCAACCAAUGACUCACUGAAUUCCUUAACACCCCCAACCCACUCCACCCCACGAGGAAGCCGGCUGAGACCCUGAAGCCCACAGAGGGAGGAUGGCGUGCCCCCAGAGGCCCACCUGUUGGGGACAGAUCAAAGAUUGGAACCCCAGCUGAAGGGGCCUUUCGUUCAAAGUCUGCUUUAUAGAUUAGCUCUCCAAGUGACAGGGGAAUCUAGAAAAUAGGUCAUCUCUGGGCUUCGAGGUCCAGACUAGACACCAUGCCUGGGUACAGCACGUUGUGAUAAUCAUCAUUAUUUACAGUCAUAAUAAUAAUAGAAGCUCCUAUUGGGUGCCACUUCCUAUGGCAGUUCCCCCGUCUGUAAAAUGCAGAUGAUAGUGGUAAGUUCACAUUGUGGGAUUGUUGGUGAGGAGGGGUUAAUAUUUGUAAAGCCUGUAGAACAGGGCUCGGCAUACAGCAAACAUUACGUCAUUGAGAACAUUGAAAAUACAGAAGUGUCGUCUGCUAAAGGCUUAAGAUCGCCUCACGUUCUCCUCAGGACACGCCCACAGGAGGCUACCAUUACGUCCAUUUUGCAGGUGGGGAAACUGAGAGCUCAGGGAUGCAUGGGGAGGGCAGGCAUGUUACUCUCCCAAGGACGGGGAGGGCGAGCUCUGAGCGCAUGCAAGUGGGGAGUGCAACCCAGGGCCAUCUGCCUCCAGAUCUAUGGGGCUCCCAUCUGUCCCUCCUCCACUUCUGCAGGUCCCCAGGGGGGAGGCAGGAUGCAGCACGCUCUGGGGAAGGUAUUUCCAGAGGGUGACCUGAGCCCUGGGCCAGGCAGAGGGUUAUUAAUAGUGCCCUGGCUGGGGAGGAUGGCUCCGGGGAAGGGAGUGGGAGGGCGGAGCUGAGCCAGCGUGGGGAGGAGAGACUGCCCAGAGAGGCUGGCUGAACUUGGCUGCCAGGGCCCCUCCCAGCCCCCUGGAGCACAGCUGUUCCCUCAGCGGAUUCUCUGGGGCUGGUUCAUCACCUCGGAAUACUCCUGUGACAGGAGCCACUUGCAAAACCCGCCUCCAGCCCCCAGCAGCAAUAAAUAGAAAGCUCCCAGCCCAGGAGAAGCGAGAAGUUUCUAGGCCUGCCUCCCUGGGUUUAUUAAGCUCCUGGCUCCUCUUUAGACCUCAGCGGCUCUGGCUGCCAGCCUGUGUGGCCUGCGAGGACAGAGACUGGCUGAUCCCUGGUGAGGCAGUACGGAUAAGGGCCCUCUGGGAUUCUGCUGGAUCAGCGGGGGGUCGCCUUUGGUGGCUGGAGUGUCUCUGGGGCCCAGGACCCCAGCCUGGUGUGUGCCUCCGUCCCUGGCAGUGGAUGGUUCAGCAUUUUCUGAAGCUGAAGAAUAAGUUUGGAAGACCAGCCCACCCACAUCAGCUUGCUGUGUGACCUUGGGCAGGUGGCUGUGGUUCUCUGAGCCUCCACUUCCCCUCCAGCUCAGCGGCCACCAUGGCUGAUGGUCAGAUGCCCUUCCCCUACACGGGCCGCCUGCGCCGGGACCCCUUCCGAGACUCGCCCCUCUCCUCCCGCCUGCUGGAUGAUGGCUUUGGCAUGGACCCCUUCCACGACAAUUUGACUGCCUCUUGGCAUGACUGGGGCCUGCCUCCAUUCUCCUCGGCCUGGCCGGGGACCCUGAGGUCGGGCAUGGUGCCCCGGGGGCCCACCGCCACGGCCAGGUUUGGGGUACCUGCUGAGGGCAGGACCCCCCCACCGUUCCCUGGGGAGCCCUGGAAAGUGUGUGUCAACGUGCACAGCUUCAAGCCGGAGGAGCUGAUGGUGAAGACCAAGGACGGAUACGUGGAGGUGUCUGAGAAGAAUAGACUGAAGCUCCAAGAACAGAGAUGCUGGGAAAUGUCAGAGCACAGACUCAAACCCAUCUACCUCCUUUUGAAUCUGCACUCCAUCACUUCCGAGCUGUGUGACCUUCAGCACAUCACCUCACCUCUCUGAACUUUCAUUCCCCAUCCACAAAACGGUGAUGGUAAAAGUACCUGCCUUCUAAGGCUGUUGGGAAAAUUAAAGGCGCUGAGAACAGUGGCUGACACCAAGCAAACACGAGGAGAAGCAGCAAGAAGGCGGCAUUGUUUCCAAGAACUUCACAAAGAAAAUCCAGCUUCCUGCAGAGGUGGAUCCUGUGACAGUAUUUGCCUCGCUUUCCCCAGAGGGCCUGCUGAUCAUCGAAGCUCCCCAGGUCCCCCCUUACUCACCAUUUGGAGAAAGCAGUUUCAACAACGAGCUUCCCCAAGACAGCCAGGAAGUCACCUGUACCUGAGACCCCAGUCAUGGCCCAUCCUUGUUCCCUCCCCAACCCCAGGGCUUCUCUGAUUCCAGGGUACAUUACUGUAGCUGAACUCAUAGAUUUAGCGCAACUAAGAUGUUGGGGGUGGGAGUGGAUGGACCACAGAGUCCCUGGAUAGUGUAGUAGUAGGUUUUUCCACAAGAGGGCGCAAUUGGCGAGUCAUGCUCAGUUGCGCAAAAUGCUGGGAGUUUUUUUUUUUUUUCUUUACCUUUUCUGUCUUGAUGAAAAUGUUGCACAUUCUAAAGUUGCCAAACCAAUAUAAUGGGACAUAACAUUUCACAUUGCAUCUUACCUUGCAGCUGAUGCAAGGGUUGCUUUUCUCUGGGGACCUCCCCAUCACCCAGAUUCCUAUUCUGGGCUCUCAAUUUCCCUGCCUGCCCUGUGGUUUGGGUGAAGGAGCCCAUUAGCUCACUCCAUUGUGUUUCUGCAGCCCUGGCCUAAGAAGGGUUAUAGAGAGGUCUUACAUCCCCAUAUGGGAUUUAUCCAACAGCCACAUGAAAAUAAACAGUGCCUUCUGCCCUCCACCCAGGCAUUUACAGCAUGUUCCCAAGCUGGCACUCCCCGGGGACUCUGGAAGCCCCUCAGUUUAUUCUCUGGCUAAAGCCCCCCCUUUCUUGUGUCUCCUAUGUCCAAGUUGGGACUUUUAGAGAGGGCUGUCUCCAGACAGCUCCAGCUGGAACCAAGCAAAGGCCAGACAGCCUGGCAGGCAGGCUAGUGGUAUUGUCUAUAUGGGUGGGACGUGUGUGUCAUUGUUAUUUGAAUUGUGCUGUUGUUUAGGGGAAAAUAACAGUAAAUGAUAAUAAUAAUAAAGGAGCUGAUGUUCUUAGCCUGGUGUGCUUCUUUUGAUGAGGGGCUAAAUGCUAUACCACUUAGAUAUGCAAUGUCAGUUAGGAAUGCUUGUGGCUACAAAUUAUAAUGCCCAAUGAGUAGUGGCUUAAAUGACACAAACAUCUAACUUUAUAAGAAGUUCAGGUAUGAGUGAUUUCAGAGUUACUUUUUCAGAAGGUACGUCACCAAGAAUCCAGAGUAUUUCCAUCUUUUUCCUCUGCCAUCUCUAAAAAGUCCACUAGGUCUAUCCUCGCAUUUGUAAGAUGGCUGCAGCAGCCCCAGGCAUCUCAUCCUCGGGUGACAAGGUACAGGAAGAGAAGGCAAGGAUAAAAAAAAAAGCCUUCUCAUCUGGCCUCCUCUUUUAUCAGCACUCAAGAUCUUUUCCAGAAGCUCUCUCUCAGCAGAUUUCUUCUUUUAUUUCAUUGACCCAACUUGGGUCACACGCCUAGCCUGAAGCCAGUCCCUGGCAAAGUGAAAGUGAUGGCCAUAAUGGGCUUAGAUCCAGAUUGAUUUGUCCUCUGAGGCCAGGAACAUUGCUGUGUGAAAAAGCAAGGUUCUGUUAAGAAGGACAGGGGUGUAGCAGCUGUGAGCGCCAUCAACAGUGUAACGGCGGCUGCAGGCUGACGCUGCCAGGAGCGCAGAACCUGGAACACAGGGUGGCAGGGAGCAAGGCUGCUGGCAUAGUGCACCAGUUGGGACUGUUUCUGGGGUAAGGGUGAAGAAACUCAACUCAAACUGAUGGACGCGAGAAGGGGUAUUUAUUGGUAUACAUAGCUGAGAAGUCCAGGAUAAAACCCGCUUUCAGGGCUCCAGUGAUGUCAACAGAACUCAGUUUCUCUCUCUCUCUUGGUCCUGCAGAGUCGGCUUCACUCCCAGUCUCCCUGUUGCCUCCCGGCCCUCCCCGUCCCCAGCCCUCCAUGCCCCCGUGUCCUCCCUCUGUGGUCGUGAGACGGCUACAGUCACUAUUCCCUCUCACAUUCCACUCCCCAGGGAGAAAAGCCAUCUUUUCCUAUAGUUUCUGCCCUAUCCCUGAGAGUCAUUCUUAUUGGAUGGGCUUCCGUCACAUGACCAUCCUGAGCUAAGCAGGGACCACGAAAUCAGAGCUUUGAUUGGCCAGGCCUGGGUCACAUGCUCUAUCCCUGGAGCCAAUCCCAAUGAAUCCCCACAACACCCGGAAGUAGAUGUUCGUUUUAUAAGGAAGAAGCUGAAGCUAAGUGGUUUGGGUAGGUCACGUGGUGACAGCAGAACUCAAACCCGGAUGUUUGCUUUUGGAAGGGUUAAUGAGGAGCUGCUGGGCUGGUUUUCAAGAGCACCUCCAAACUCCAGAUGACCGGAGAAAUCACUAUUUCCUGAGCACCUACUCGGUCCAUCCUGUGCUAGGUGCCAAGGAUACAGAGACCAAUGAACCACAAUUCCUGCCCCAAGGAGCUCACAGACCAGUGACAGAGACAGGCAGAUAAAAGAAUGCCUGGCUCCCUUUAAAUCCUCACUGUGUGACAGACACCAUGCUAAGUGCUUUAUUAUAGUAGAUUUACUGACACUACAAUCCUAUGAGAUAGGUCCAGCUGUUACCUCCGUUUUACAGAUAGGGAAACUGAGGCAUGGAAAGGUUACGUGCACUGCCCCCAAAUCACACAUCUGGUAAGCCCCAGGCCCAGGACCUUCACUAGUACUCUUACCCUGUUCUGCCCUUCUCCCAACAAAAUAAAAUGUAAGCGUGCCCUAAGUGAGUCGUCCAGCUUGUAGGAAGAGCAGAGAGGUGAUAUUUCAAGUUGGGGCUUUGCAGGGAGGGUGGGAGUCAGAGGUGGCUUACAGAGUCACUCCUGUCGGACUUGAAGAUGGGCAGGUUGUAGGAUUUGAGCAAGCAGGGGUGGGGAUGGGGAG